rnacentral:lncRNA from 1 species
AGUCACUGGCUUUCUUGCGGGUCAGUCACUGAGCCAAUUUCCAAGUCCGUCACACCGGCUUUUUUCAAAUGAACGCGCAAAAGGCGGGGAAGUAUCUGGAAAGCGAUUGGUUCGUCCUAGAAAACGGUCAAACCCGGAGAGUCUGUACGGAUCCUUUCCGUUCUGUGAGGACCGUGCCCCCUUGUAUUUGACCUCUAAGCCUCGCGUAAAAGAAGCGCCAUAAGGGACCAACGAGCAGUCCAGCUAUAGGUGUGGACGCCUGGUCCCACCCGGAAUUGCAGGGGCUUGGCUACUGAUUGGCUAAGAAAGUCCUCCUAGGCCCUCAUUGGAGGAUCUAAACGCCUCUCUUCGGCGUGGAGACGGGAAGGGACGACUCAGACGAGGACAAGAAGUGGGCAGGGGAGAGGCGGUUGUUUUGCUUCAGCCGCGGGUGGGGCGCAGGCGAGAGUGGGAAACUGGGAAGGCCGGGCUCUGGGGAGGUGUUGCGGGGAGGGGAAAGGCCCGGAUGUUCCCUAACAAUGAAAUCAUCGCCGACCUAUCAGAGCCGCCGAGCUGGGAUACCUGCCUGACCUGUACCCCGGAGGGAGAAGAGUGGGCGGGAAAUUGGGGUGUCGGAAGAACCUGGAAAGCAACGUGAGAAAGUGGGACAGGUGUUCCCUUCAGGAGGAUUUUGUGCUAUUAGAGAUUAUUUUUAUACCAGCCCUUGACAUUUCCGUAUUUUGUUUCUCAGUCGGCAUUGAUAUUAAAACUCCCAGCCUAGUCUCUUGACA